rnacentral:rRNA from 1 species
UAGGAACCUGCCGCGUCGUGGGGGAUAACGCUGGGAAACCGGCGCUAAUACCGCAUGUGGUCAUGUGGAAACACGUGAAGAAAGCAGCAAUGCGCGACGUGAGGGGCCUGCGGCCGAUUAGCUAGUUGGAGAGGUAAUGGCUCACCAAGGCGACGAUCGGUAGCUGGUCUGAGAGGAUGGUCAGCCACACUGGGACUGAGAUACGGCCCAG